rnacentral:rRNA from 1 species
GACGAGGAUAACCAUUGGAAACAGUGGCUAAGACUGGAUAGGAAGAAAUAAGGCAUCUUUUUUCUUUUAAAAGACCUAGUGAUAGGUAUACUUUAGGAGGGGCUUGCGCCAUAUUAGUUAGUUGGUAGGGUAAUGGCCUACCAAGACGAUGAUGUGUAGCUGGACUGAGAGGUUGAACAGCCACAUUGGGACUGAGACACGGCCCAAACUCCUACGGGAGGCAGCAGUAGGGAAUUUUCGGCAAUGGAGGAAACUCUGACCGAGCAACGCCGCGUGAACGACGAAGUACUUUGGUAUGUAAAGUUCUUUUAUCAAGGAAGAAAAGCAAGUGGUGAACCAUUUGUUUGCCGGUACUUGAUGAAUAAGCCCCGGCUAAUUAUGUGCCAGCAGCCGCGGUAAGACAUAAGGGGCAAGUGUUAUCCGGAAUUAUUGGGCGUAAAGGGUGCGUAGGCGGUCUAGUAAGUCAGUGGUGUAAUGGCAACGCUCAACGUUGUCCGGCUAUUGAAACUGCUAAACUUGAGUUAGAUAGAGGCGAGUGGAAUUCCAUGUGUAGCGGUAAAAUGCGUAAAUAUAUGGAGGAACACCAGAGGCGUAGGCGGCUCGCUGGGUCUUAACUGACGCUGAGGCACGAAAGCGUGGGGAGCAAACAGGAUUAGAUACCCUGGUAGUCCACGCCGUAAACGAUGAGUACUAAGUGUCGGGUUAAACCGGUACUGAAGUUAACACAUUAAGUACUCCGCCUGAGUAGUACGUACGCAAGUAUGAAACUUAAAGGAAUUGACGGGACUCCGCACAAGCGGUGGAUCAUGUUGUUUAAUUCGAAGAUACCCGAAAAACCUUACCAGGUCUUGACAUGUUUUUGCGAAACGGUAGUAAUAUCGUGGAGGUUAUCAGAAACACAGGUGGUGCAUGGUUGUCGUCAGCUCGUGUCGUGAGAUGUUAGGUUAAGUCCUAAAACGAGCGAAACCCUUAUCGUUAGUUGCCAGCACGUUAUGGUGGGGACUUUAACGAGACUGCCAGUGAUAAAUUGGAGGAAGGUGAGGAUCACGUCAAAUCAGCAUGCCCCUUAUGACCUGGGCUACAAACGUGAUACAAUGGCUGUUACAAAGGGUAGCUGAAACGCAAGUUCUUGGCCAAUCCCCAAAAACAGUCUCAGUCCGGAUUGAAGUCUGCAACUCGACUUCAUGAAGUUGGAAUCGCUAGUAAUCGCGAAUCAGCAUGUCGCGGUGAAUACGUUCUCGGGGUUUGUACACACCGCCCGUCAAACCACGAAAGUUGGCAAUACCCCAAAACGGUAGCCUAACUCGUUUAUC